CCUACGGGUGGCAGCAGUGAGGAAUCUUGGUCAAUGGACGAGAGCCUGAACCAGCCACGCCGCGUGAAGGAUGACUGCCCUAUGGGUUGUAAACUUCUUUUAUAUGGGAAUAAAAUGUUCCACGUGUGGGUUUUUGUAUGUACCAUAUGAAUAAGGAUCGGCUAACUCCGUGCCAGCAGCCGCGGUAAUACGGAGGAUCCGAGCGUUAUCCGGAUUUAUUGGGUUUAAAGGGAGCGUAGGUGGAUUGUUAAGUCAGUUGUGAAAGUUUGCGGCUCAACCGUAACAUUGCAGUUGAAACUGGCAGUCUUGAGUACAGUAGAGGUGAGCGGAAUUCGUGGUGUAGCGGUGAAAUGCGUAGAUAUCACGAAGAACUCCGAUCGCGAAGGCAGCUCACUGGACUGCAACUGACACUGAGGCUCGAAAGUGUGGGUAUCAAACAGGAUUAGAUACCCGGGUAGUC
rnacentral:rRNA from 1 species